AACGCUAGCUACAGGCUUAACACAUGCAAGUCGAGGGGUAGCAGGGUAGCAAUACCGCUGACGACCGGCGCACGGGUGAGUAACACGUAUCCAACCUUCCCAUAACUCGGGGAUAGCCUUUCGAAAGAAAGAUUAAUACCCGAUAGUACUUAUAUAGGGCAUCCUACAUAAGUUAAAGAUUUAUUGGUUAUGGAUGGGGAUGCGUUCCAUUAGAUAGUUGGUGAGGUAACGGCUCACCAAGUCUUCGAUGGAUAGGGGUUCUGAGAGGAAGGUCCCCCACAUUGGUACUGAGACACGGACCAAACUCCUACGGGAGGCAGCAGUGAGGAAUAUUGGUCAAUGGGCGAGAGCCUGAACCAGCCAAGUAGCGUGAAGGAUGAAGGUCCUAUGGAUUGUAAACUUCUUUUAUAGUAGAAUAAAGUGAACCACGUGUGGUUUUUUGUAUGUAUACUAUGAAUAAGGAUCGGCUAACUCCGUGCCAGCAGCCGCGGUAAUACGGAGGAUCCGAGCGUUAUCCGGAUUUAUUGGGUUUAAAGGGUGCGUAGGCGGAAUAAUAAGUCAGUUGUGAAAGUUUGCGGCUCAACCGUAAAAUUGCAGUUGAUACUGUUAUUCUUGAGUGUACAUAAGGUAGGCGGAAUUCGUGGUGUAGCGGUGAAAUGCUUAGAUAUCACGAAGAACUCCGAUUG
rnacentral:rRNA from 1 species